rnacentral:ncRNA from 1 species
AUGUGUUUGCAGAGGAACCAUUUUGGUUGAGAAGGCUAAAACCUGACUCUUUGAACCUGUUUAAGUUAAUACUGGCGUAGGGAGCAAAUUAAUUAUUUUA